GAUGAACGCUAGCGGCAGGCCUAACACAUGCAAGUCGAGGGAGGAGCUUUCGGGCUUCGACCGGCGUACGGGUGCGUAACGCGUAUACAAUCUGCCUUUCACAUAGGGAUAGCCCGAAGAAAUUUGGAUUAAUACCUAAUAGUAUAUAGAUGUGGCAUCACCUUUAUAUUAAAGCUGAGGCGGUGAAAGAUGAGUAUGCGUUCUAUUAGCUAGUUAGAGAGGUAACGGCUCCCCAAGGCGACGAUAGAUAGGGGUUCUGAGAGGGAUAUCCCCCACACUGGUACUGAGAUACGGACCAGACUCCUACGGGAGGCAGCAGUGAGGAAUAUUGGACAAUGGUCGGAAGACUGAUCCAGCCAUGCCGCGUGCAGGAAGACGGCCUUAUGGGUUGUAAACUGCUUUUGCAGGGGAAGAAUAAGGAGUACGUGUACUUUGAUGACGGUACUCUGCGAAUAAGCAUCGGCUAACUCCGUGCCAGCAGCCGCGGUAAUACGGAGGAUGCGAGCGUUAUCCGGAAUCAUUGGGUUUAAAGGGUCCGUAGGCGGGCUAAUAAGUCAGAGGUGAAAGCGCUCAGCUCAACUGAGCAACUGCCUUUGAAACUGUUAGUCUUGAAUGGUUGUGAAGUAGUUGGAAUGUGUAGUGUAGCGGUGAAAUGCUUAGAUAUUACACAGAACACCGAUAGCGAAGGCAUAUUACUAACAAUUAAUUGACGCUGAUGGACGAAAGCGUGGGGAGCGAACAGG
rnacentral:rRNA from 1 species